rnacentral:rRNA from 1 species
CAAAAGGAUAGACAGCGCCCGAGGAGCUCGCUCCCGGGGCUACCCUACUCCCGUAGGGUUUAGAGUCGUCGGGCCUCUCGGAGAAGCUCGGUCCUGAACUCCACCCUUGAAUAAACUACCUUUGUUGCUUGGGCGGGCCGCCUCGUGCCAGCGGCUUCGGCUGUUGAGUGCCCGCCAGAGGACCCCAACUCUUGUUUUUAGUGAUGUCUGAGUACUAUAUAAUAGUUAAAACUUUCAACAACGGAUCUCUUGGUUCUGGCAUCGAUGAAGAACGCAGCGAAAUGCGAUAAGUAAUGUGAAUUGCAGAAUUCAGUGAAUCAUCGAAUCUUUGAACGCACAUUGCGCCCUCUGGUAUUCCGGGGGGCAUGCCUGUUCGAGCGUCAUUAUAACCACUCAAGCUCUCGCUUGGUAUUGGGGUUCGCGGUUUCGCGGCCCCUAAAAUCAGUGGCGGUGCCUGUCGGCUCUACGCGUAGUAAUACUCCUCGCGAUUGAGUCCGGUAGGUCUACUUGCCAGCAACCCCUAAUUUUUUUAAGGUUGACCUCGGAUCAGGUAGGGAUACCCGCUGAACUUAAGCAUAUCAAUAAGCGGAGGAA